GAUGAACGCUAGCGGCGUGCCUGACACAUGCAAGUCGAACGUGAGAGGGUACUUGUAUCCUUGAAAGUGGCGGACGGGUGAGUAAGACGUAGGUGACCUGCCUUGAAGUGGGGGAUAACCAUUGGAAACGAUGGCUAAUACCGCAUAAGCUGGUGACGAUGGGAAUCGUUAUCAGGAAAGCUUUAGUGCUUUGAGAGGGGCCUACGGCCGAUUAGCUAGUUGGUGAGGUAAAGGCUCACCAAGGCGAUGAUCGGUAGCUGGUCUGAGAGGACGAUCAGCCACACGGGAACUGAGACACGGUCCCGACUCCUACGGGGGGCAGCAGUGAGGAAUAUUCGGCAAUGGGGGCAACCCUGACCGAGCAACGCCGCGUGGAGGAUGACGGUUUUCGGAUUGUAAACUCCUUUUCUCAGGGAAGAGCGAGGACGGUACCUGGGGAAUAAGUCACGGCUAACUACGUGCCAGCAGCCGCGGUAAGGUGCGCGAGU
rnacentral:rRNA from 1 species